rnacentral:rRNA from 1 species
AGCUCCAAUAGCGUAUAUUAAAGUUGCUGCGGUUAAAAAGCUCGUAGUCGGAUCUCAGUCUCGGUCGGACGGUCCAUUUCACGAUGGUACUGUUCGAAUCGGACAUUUGGCCGCGUUUCUCAGUAUGCUCUUGACUGAGUGUACUGUGAGAGUGGCACGUUUACUUUGAAAAAAUUAGAGUGCUCAAAGCAGGCAAUCGCCUGAAUCUUCGUGCAUGGAAUGAUGGAAUAGGGCCUCGAUCCUGUUUUGUUGGUUCAAGGGAUUUGAGGUAAUGAUUAAGAGGGACGGCCGGGGGCAUUCGUAUUGCGACGUUAGAGGUGAAAUUCUUAGAUCGUCGCAAGACGGACUACUGCGAAAGCAUUUGCCAAGAAUGUUUUCAUUGAUCAAGAACGAAAGUAGG